AUACGUAGGGUGCGAGCGUUGUCCGGAAUUACUGGGCGUAAAGAGCUCGUAGGUGGUUUGUCGCGUCGUCUGUGAAAUUCCGGGGCUUAACUCCGGGCGUGCAGGCGAUACGGGCAUAACUUGAGUACUGUAGGGGAGACUGGAAUUCCUGGUGUAGCGGUGAAAUGCGCAGAUAUCAGGAGGAACACCGGUGGCGAAGGCGGGUCUCUGGGCAGUAACUGACGGUGAGGAGCGAAAGCAUGGGUAGCGAACAGGAUUAGAUACCCUGGUAGUCCAUGCCGUAAACGGUGGGCGCUAGGUGUAGGGGUCUUCCACGACUUCUGUGCCGUAGCUAACGCAUUAAGCGCCCCGCCUGGGGAGUACGGCCGCAAGGCUAAAACUCAAAGGAAUUGACGGGG
rnacentral:rRNA from 1 species